rnacentral:tRNA from 1 species
GGGGUCGUAGCCCAAUGGCAGAGGCGCAGUUUUUAGGUAGCUGUUACGUGUGGGUUCGAAUCCCACCGGCCCCAC